GACAGAGGAUGCAAGCGUUAUCCGGAAUGAUUGGGCGUAAAGCGUCUGUAGGUGGCUUUUUAAGUCCGCCGUCAAAUCCCAGGGCUCAACCCUGGACAGGCGGUGGAAACUACCAAGCUGGAGUACGGUAGGGGCAGAGGGAAUUUCCGGUGGAGCGGUGAAAUGCGUAGAUAUGCGGAGGAACACCGAUGGCGAAGGCAAUCCCCUGGACCUGUACUGACGCUCAUGCACGAAAGCGUGGGGAGCAAACAGG
rnacentral:rRNA from 1 species